GCCGCCGCUCACUCCGCCAUGUUGCCGCCCCCUGCCUGCGGUAGCGGCCACUGCGCCUGCGCAGAGCCUCUGGGGGCGGAGCGCUUGGUACACCCCCUCUUUCGCCCUGCCCUCCUUCUCCUUCCACACACCCACCCCGACACCCCUCAUCCCUCCCCCAACCACCCUGAACGGAUAGACAGGAGGAGGUUUUCAUCAUCUUCGUCGUUGCAUCCAGUAGCUGCUACUGCCAGUGCCACGUGCCUUGUAAGGUGCUGAUGGUCAUUCCUUCCUGGCUGGAAACUCCCUGGACGGGGAUUUGUGGCAGCAGAAUUCUCACAUUCUCUAGGUGCUCAGGAUUACUUUCUCUGGGGGAGCCAGCUGCCAUGUCCAAAGACCCUCUGGCUGUUCUAUGGAGGACAUCACACGAGGCACUCAGGCCUCCUGCCCACAGCCACAUGAGUGAGCAUCCUGGAGGCGGAUGCCCCCGCCACAGCUGUUACAUGACUGCAGGCUGCAAGCCAGCAGCUUCACUGCCACUGCGUGGGAGGCCCUGAACCAGAACUGCCCAGAUACCCAACUGUGCUGCUCUGGGAUUCCUGAUCCUCAGAAACUGUCAGAGUCCAUUGCCGUGACCUCGGGCUAAAUAUCAUCCCCCCCUGCUGAGAGUGUGGAAGUAGUUCCCCCACUGGUUCCAGGCUUCCAUUCCUGCUCCCGUCGAAAGAUCCAAAGGUGCAGUUGUAGCCUGGGAUUUGUGGAGUCCCUCAGAGAGGGUGAGGACAGCGAUUGGAACUCACAGGGCAGAAUCCUUGGAAACAGUACCAUUCAGGGAGUUGAGAACCUGCAGAAGACUGAAAAGGAGGAUUAAGCAUGUAUGUGGAGAACCAGGAGAGAAAGACACUGAAGGAGUCUAGGCAGGGGAUGCUCAGUGGAAGGCACCUCCUGGAGCUGGCAGGUCCACUGGCGCAUCAUUUUCUGGAAUUGCCUUGGUGACUCCAGGGACCAGAUGUUUCUCGGCCUGCAACCCACUGCUCCUGCGUUCAGCCUCCUGGCUGGCUGUUUGCUUGCUUGGAUUCAGCCCAGUGCAGAUGGCAUCACUGCGAAAUCAGAGAAGGAUGACACAUGGUUUCCUGCUCUUCCUUCAAGUCACUCCUUUACUUGUUAGAGCUUAUUUCCUGGGAGUCCAAAAAUUAAGUUUCACCUGGGCUACGUACUCUAUAAUUACAUUAUUUUCUUAAUUAUGCUUGAUGACAAAGUUAUCAAAAUUCAACAAGAUUAAAACCAAAAUAAAAUUGGGAAGCAAAUGUC